CAGAGAGGUGGCCUCACAGACAGGGUAGGGCAGGAGCAGACCUAGGGCCAUAACCAGGUGCCCCAGAAAAACUUGGAUCAACAUCAGAGCUUUUCACACAGGGAUGUGUGUCGAAGGAAGCUUGGGCCUCUGGAGACAGAAAUGGAGGUGUGUCGAAGGAAGCUUGGGCCUCUGGAGACAGAAAUGGAGGUGUGUCGAAGGAAGCUUGGGCCUCUGGAGACAGAAAUGGAGGUGUGUCGAAGGAAGCUUGGGCCUCUGGAGACAGAAAUGGAGGUGUGUCGAAGGAAGCUUGGGCCUCUGGAGACAGAAAUGGAG